rnacentral:rRNA from 1 species
GACGAACGCUGGCGGCGUGCUUAACACAUGCAAGUCGAACGAGGUCCACUGCGUAGCAAUACAAAGGAAGUCCUAGUGGCGAACGGGUGCGUAACACGUGAGGAACUUGUCCCGGUCUCUGGGAUAACAGUUGGAAACGACUGCUAAUACCGGAUGACGUCGGAGGCUCGCAUGGGCUACUGACGAAAGGGUUACUGGAUCGGGAGAGCCUCGCGGCCUAUCAGCUUGUUGGUGAGGUAACGGCUCACCAAGGCAUCGACGGGUAGCUGGUCUGAGAGGAUGAUCAGCCACACUGGGACUGAGACACGGCCCAGACUCCUACGGGAGGCAGCAGUGGGGAAUCUUGCGCAAUGGGCGAAAGCCUGACGCAGCAACGCCGCGUGCGGGAAGAAGGCCUUCGGGUUGUAAACCGCUUUCAGAAGGAACGAAAAUGACGGUACUUUCAGAAGAAGGUGCGGCCAACUACGUGCCAGCAGCCGCUGUAAUAC